rnacentral:rRNA from 1 species
UACGCAGGCAGCAAGCGUUGUUCGGAGUUACUGGGCGUAAAGGGUGCGUAGGUGGCUCUAUAAGUAUGGUGUGAAAUCUCCCGGCUUAACUGGGAGGGUGCGCCGUAGACUGUGGGGCUAGAGUGUGGGAGAGGAAAGUGGAAUUCCUGGUGUAGCGGUGAAAUGCGUAGAUAUCAGGAGGAACACCGGUGGUGUAAACGGCUUUCUGGACCAUAACUGACACUGAGGCACGAAAGCGUGGGUAGCAAACAGG